GACGAACGCUGGCGGCGUGCUUAACACAUGCAAGUCGAACGAGAAUCUACUGAAAGAGUUUUCGGACAAUGGAAGUAGAGGAAAGUGGCGGACGGGUGAGUAACGCGUGAGGAACCUGCCUUGAAGAGGGGGACAACAGUUGGAAACGACUGCUAAUACCGCAUGAAGCAUAGGGGUCGCAUGAUUCUUAUGCCAAAGAUUUAUCGCUUCAAGAUGGCCUCGCGUCUGAUUAGCUGGUUGGCGGGGUAACGGCCCACCAAGGCGACGAUCAGUAGCCGGACUGAGAGGUUGAACGGCCACAUUGGGACUGAGAUACGGCCCAGACUCCUACGGGAGGCAGCAGUGGGGAAUAUUGGGCAAUAGGCGCAAGCCUGACCCAGCAACGCCGCGUGAAGGAAGAAGGCUUUCGGGUUGUAAACUUCUUUUAAGAGGGAAGAGCAGAAGACGGUACCUCUAGAAUAAGCCACGGCUAACUACGUG
rnacentral:rRNA from 1 species